rnacentral:rRNA from 1 species
AUUGAACGCUGGCGGCAUGCCUUACACAUGCAAGUCGAACGGUAACGCGGGGCAACCUGGCGACGAGUGGCGAACGGGUGAGUAAUAUAUCGGAACGUGCCCAGUAGUGGGGGAUAGCCCGGCGAAAGCCGGAUUAAUACCGCAUACGACCUACGGGUGAAAGGGGGGGAUCGCAAGACCUCUCGCUAUUGGAGCGGCCGAUAUCAGAUUAGGUAGUUGGUGGGGUAAAAGCCCACCAAGCCAACGAUCUGUAGCUGGUCUGAGAGGACGACCAGCCACACUGGGACUGAGACACGGCCCAGACUCCUACGGGAGGCAGCAGUGGGGAAUUUUGGACAAUGGGCGAAAGCCUGAUCCAGCCAUGCCGCGUGCGGGAAGAAGGCCUUCGGGUUGUAAACCGCUUUUGUCAGGGAAGAAAUCCUUUGAGCUAAUACCUCGGGGGGAUGACGGUACCUGAAGAAUAAGCACCGGCUAACUACGUGCCAGCAGCCGCGGUAAAAC